rnacentral:lncRNA from 1 species
UUUCAGCUGCCUAUAAUAAUGAAAAAUGAAGCUAAACACGAGGACUGUGUCGACAUUCUUGACACAAAUGAAACCAUCCUGAGUGACAUCUAUGUGAAGGCACUUGUUCAGGCCUUAUGGAGGACAGUUACUGAUGUUUGUCGGUUACAGUUACAUAUGUGAUAACUUCUACAAGCUCAACUGAAUUACUGAACAAGUUCCAAGUACCGGUAUGAGGUAAUCAGCUGACAAGGGUAAGAUUCGAAGAAGCCAAAAAUCUUCGUACAUUAGCAACAACACCCCGAAAAAGGUUUGAAGAACUACAGACUUUUGUGACUGAACUGUGGCAUACAAAACAAGAUUACCUUGAGGUUAGUAUUUUUUAAUAGCAGUAUGCUAUGAUUGUUUGGAUUGUAAAGAAUUACAAAAUACAAUGCAUCUGAUAUUUCAAGUAUCUUUGGGCAUUUCUC